rnacentral:rRNA from 1 species
AUUGAACGCUGGCGGCAUGCCUUACACAUGCAAGUCGAACGGUAACAAGUCUUCGGAUGCUGACGAGUGGCGAACGGGUGAGUAAUACAUCGAAACGUGCCCGAGAGUGGGGGAUAACGAGGCGAAAGCUUUGCUAAUACCGCAUACGAUCUCAGGACGAAAGCAGGGGACCGCAAGGCCUUGCGCCCACGGAGCGGCCGAUGGCAGAUUAGGUAGUUGGUGGGAUAAAAGCUUACCAAGCCGACGAUCUGUAGCUGGUCUGAGAGGACGACCAGCCACACUGGGACUGAGACACGGCCCAGACUCCUACGGGAGGCAGCAGUGGGGAAUUUUGGACAAUGGGCGCAAGCCUGAUCCAGCAAUGCCGCGUGCAGGAAGAAGGCCUUCGGGUUGUAAACUGCUUUUGUACGGAACGAAACGGUCUGGGUUAAUACCCUGGGCUAAUGACGGUACCGUAAGAAUAAGCACCGGCUAACUACGUGCCAGCCGCCGCCGUAAGAC